GGUACUGAGACACGGACCAGACUCCUACGGGAGGCAGCAGUGAGGAAUAUUGGUCAAUGGGCGCAAGCCUGAACCAGCCAUGCCGCGUGCAGGAUGACGGCUCUAGAAGUUGUAAACUGCUUUUGUAUGGGAAUAAACUGUCCGGUUCUCCGGGCAUUGAAGGUACCAUACGAAUAAUGAUCGGCUAACUCCGUGCCAGCAGCCGCGGUAAUACGGAGGAUCCAAGCGUUAUCCGGAUUUAUUGGGUUUAAAGGGUGUGCAGGCGGAGUAAUAAGUCAGUGGUGACAUCUUGCGGCUCAACCGUAAAAUUGCCAUUGAUACUGUUAUUCUUGAGUUCAGUUGAGGUGGGCGGAAUGAGUAAUGUAGCGGUGAAAUGCUUAGAUAUUACUCAGAACACCGAUUGCGUAGGCAGCUCGCUAAACUGUAACUGACGCUGAGGCACGAAAGCGUGGGGAGCGAACAGGAUUAGAUACCCUGGUAGUCCACGCCGUAAACUAUGAAUACUGGAUGUGUGCGAUACACUGUACGCGUCUGAGCGAAAGCAUUAAGUAUUCCACCUGGGGAGUACGUCCGCAAGGAUGAAACUCAAAGGAAUUGACGGGGGCCCGCACAAGCGGAGGAACAUGUGGUUUAAUUCGAUGAUACGCGAGGAACCUUACCUGGGCUUAAAUGCAGUAUGACCGUUCUCGAAAGAGAUCUUCCCUUCGGGGCAAAUUGCAAGGUGCUGCAUGGUUGUCGUCAGCUCGUGCCGUGAGGUGUCGGGUUAAGUCCCAUAACGAGCGCAACCCCUACCGUUAGUUGCCAGCGAGUAAUGUCGGGGACUCUAGCGGAACUGCCGGUGUAAACCGCGAGGAAGGUGGGGAUGACGUCAAAUCAGCACGGCCCUUAUGUCCAGGGCUACACACGUGUUACAAUGGUCGGUACAGUGGGCAGCUACCCAGCGAUGGGAUGCUAAUCUCCAAAACCGAUCCCAGUUCGGAUUGAAGUCUGCAACUCGACUUCAUGAAGGUGGAUUCGCUAGUAAUCGCAUAUCAGCAACGAUGCGGUGAAUACGUUCCCGGGCCUUGUACACACCGCCCGUCAAGCCAUGAAGCUUG
rnacentral:rRNA from 1 species